rnacentral:sRNA from 2 species
UAACCGCCACCACGAGCGUGGUUUUUGGCCUCAGCUUCCAGUUCCCGCUUUGUCCCGGCUCCCCGUUAGACUCUUGCUGUGAGAUCACCAUUGGCUUUUCACAAAAGUCAUUCAACCCUCUCAAUAACUCGGUUUCUUGGGCUGGUGAUAAAAUUGGAUACAGCAAGGUCAGAGUGUAGCCACUAACGCCCGUGAGCAAUAUAAGGACCAUCAAACGCCUCCUUUUACCAUAUUCUCGAUAGAAAGAGCAUCAAUCGCGAUCGUCGCUGGGGAUUAUAACACGUAUGGAAUGGUCGGUUUGGAGUUUGUUUAACUCCACGUAUGAGCGCCUACACACCUAUGGGAACAAGAGUAUGAACUUCGCAAUCUGCAGUAUUUUCGAGGUUUUGUGAGCCGAUGGCCGGGGAUCGCUAUUCAUCAAAAUGAAUAGGCCAGGUUAUACUCUGGUUAUACUCUGGUUUGUCCCACUCCGUCACAAUGCCCUGACCCGUCAGGAUACUACAUCGAUAACGUCGCGCAUCUUCCUCACCCAUUAUGGAGUGGGGCAUUGAGAGUAGUCAUUGUUGAUGAGUCUUAAAAUCAGAUAAAUGUAACAAAUUGCAGACAUGAAUGUUUGCUGAGAUGGCAGAAAACGUGAGAAAAAAAAAAUUAAGGCAGUCGAUUUCUUGCUUUCCGACAUCGACUAUUUGAAGGUGAGUGUGGGAAAAUAUCCAGUUCUCAUCAUCCUCAUCAAGAGGGAACGCUCCAAUUCAAUCGAAUUGUUGGUGAUCGUUAGAUGAAUAUGUAGAUAGUCGUGGCAGCAAUGUCAAGGAAAAGUAAAUACAUGAGACAUAUUCGCUAUCGGUUGCAGAAUAAAAGGGGUGGAACUGAGAAAGGGAUUGGGGAAUAUAGAGACGAUGAAAUCGCAAAAGGAGAAAGCAAAGCGGAGUUCGUUGUGAAAAAAACACAAACGUAUCUCGCCAGGGGUAGAAGAAAUGAAUCCCUUCGGCGAAAACUAGACAAUGUAAUAUGAAACAUAGAUAUCACGAAACAUGAGAAUAAAAAAAAGGGAGAGAGAGAGAAAACAAGGAAAAUACAACCCACACUAACAUCCGGAACAGUACCUCGACAACCCUCUUCUAGUGAUCAUAACCCGAUCUUCGCCUCAGUCAUCUCCCCCAGUUCGCUCUCCAACUUCAUCAAUGUCGUCAUCAUAAUCACCACCACUACCUCUAAUCCCACCGCCGUAAUCUUCAGGCUCAGGAGUCGCAAUGUCAUUCGAAGCCAGCGGCUCAUUCUUUGCUCCAUUCACCGCCAGCCGGUCGGCUGCCUCAUUUCCAGGAUCUCGACUGUGUCCUCGGACCCAUUCAAACAACGUCUUGACAUUCAGCAGUGUCCGCUCUUCAAUUUUGAGAAGGAUGGAUUGGAUUAAAUCUUUGUUCUCGACCGGCUUAUCCUGCGCCGUCAUCCAUUUGUUGCGUUGCCAAUUCACAAACCAUACCGUCACGCAGUUGAUCGCGUACUUGCUGUCUGUGAAAAUAGUGACGUCGCGGUGCCGUGGCGCAAUGUCCAAUGCGCGUAUGAUUGCCGUCAGUUCUGCUCGUUGGUUUGUUUGUCGGCUGCCUUUGAGUGGCUCGGAUACGUUCCUCUCAUCGCCAGGACCAAAAUAUACUCCAACACCAGCCUUGGCUCCCAUGGAACCAUUUCUCAAAGAGCUUCCGUCGGUGUAUAUUUUUAAAGGUCCCGGACGUCCCAGUUGCUGCUUUGUUGGUAAUUUUUCAUGUGGCGAUCUAUAUUUCAAUUUCCCCGUUGUAGGAUCAAGAAGGAUGUUCGGGUCAAACCCGUCAACUGCACCUGGUGGCACGGGCCCCAAUCCAGGCGGAUACUCUUUCCCAUCGGCAUCGGUUGGCCGUUCCGAUGUCAGGCCAGGAGCGCCAGGUAGAUUCGUCUUCCCGGACAGAUUCGGCUUAUGCUCCACGUCUUGCGCAAUUUCUGUCUCUUCCGGCAUCUGUUGUCCCUGUCGAACAUAGGCAUCUGCCUCAGCCCAAGUCGCGAACCUGCGAUAUUUAGGUCCCCGGAACCCCCGCACUUGAUCCUGCGUCACUGCCCAGUCGGUAUAUACACCUGGUUUUCGUCCCCGUUGUACACCGUAGAAUUUUGUGCUCGUGGAUGAGUUCCCAGGUCCCGUAGCAGUUUGUGUGCCAGUGAGGAAGGCAUUUGCUUCAUCCAGAGUAGGAAACGACUGGAAAACAGCACCCUUGAAGCCCGUCACUUGCGUUAAACAGUCAUUCCACGUAUGA